AGACUGAGAAGUCUGAAAAUCUGCAGUCAGCAAGCUGAAAAUGUAGGAGACAUGGUGAUAUAAAUUCCAGCCUGAGUAAAAAAGCAGGUCUCACCAUGAACCUGGCGAUGGAUGAGAAGAUAUUUCUUUCCCCCCAUACCAGCCCUCACCACCAACUGACUGCAAAAACUUGAGAGACCGAGUGAGAAUUGCCCAGCUCAGCCCAGUUAGCUCCUAGAACCAUGAGAGAUAAAAAUAAA
rnacentral:lncRNA from 10 species